rnacentral:rRNA from 1 species
GAAUAUUGCACAAUGGGGGAAACCCUGAUGCAGCAACGCCGCGUGAGUGAUGACGGCCUUCGGGUUGUAAAGCUCUGUCUUCAGGGACGAUAAUGACGGUACCUGAGGAGGAAGCCACGGCUAACUACGUGCCAGCAGCCGCGGUAAUACGUAGGUGGCAAGCGUUGUCCGGAUUUACUGGGCGUAAAGGGAGCGUAGGCGGACUUUUAAGUGGGAUGUGAAAUACCCGGGCUUAACCUGGGUGCUGCAUUCCAAACUGGGAGUCUAGAGUGCAGGAGGGGAAAGUGGAAUUCCUAGUGUAGCGGUGAAAUGCGUAGAGAUUAGGAAGAACACCAGUGGCGAAGGCGACUUUCUGGACUGUAACUGACGCUGAGGCUCGAAAGCGUGGGGAGCGAACAGG